GGAGGCAGACCGUGAUGGGGGUGCCUACCUAUUUCCCCCUGCUCAACUCCUAUCCUUCAGGGCUUCCCCACCACCCCUCAAAUGUCCUCUGAAAAGGAAACACAUCAGGUGAAGCCUCCCUCCUUGGAUGGCAGCCCAAGUCAGUGGACAGCUGGGUAAAGGGAAGGAGAAUGAGGUGGACACUGACCGUUGGGCAGUGGUUUGAUGUCCGCAUCUCCUUGCUGGUUUGAACUAUCUGAUUGUCCGGAUUCUGCAGGAGAAACAAAAGGGAGAAAGGGUCAGGAGAAAAGUUUCAUACAAUCACUGACCAAGCAGGAACCCUCUAGCCUUGGGCACCGACUCCAGGCAGUAGACCUUGAUCACCCAGGCUCCAGGGCUAACCCAGGCUCUAGAGCUAGCCCAGGAGCACUGGGGUGAACAAUGACAAUAAGUACUUCACCCAACAUUUGGGCUGGGCUGGUCACUGUGGCAGAGGGAGAGGCAUCCUGGGCAGAGUGUACAGCGGAUCUCUGCCCUCUACCCACCACAUGCUAAUAGCACCUUAGUUGUGACAACCCAAACUACCUCCAGAAACUGCUCAAUGAGCCCCGACGGACAGAGUCGGCAUACAUAGAUAGACAGCACUGACCAGGAGUCUGAAGUCAGGAGGAAAGAAGCCAGUAAUGGGCACCGUCCAUAACAGGGCAGACCCCCGGGCCCUCCCUUUCCCAGAGGGGCAUUCCCAUCCCUAAGUCCAUUAAUUGAUGCUGUUCCUGUGGGCUCAUGCCCCUCCGUCUCACCUUUAUGCUUACAAGCAAUGCCUGGCAACCCGGAGGGGGGAGGUGUGCCCUGCUGCCACCCAUUCUGUGCCAGCCUGUCUGGGCUGUCUCAUGCCCCAUUGCCACAGCUGCUCAGAGGGAGCCCUGAGACAAGGGCCUAUUGUGUGGUGGAAGCUCACAGAGGGCUGGGGGCAGGGUGGAGUGUGUGUGUGAAUAUUUUGCCGAGCUUGAGAAAGCCCCCCCACCCUCGCCCCCUAGGUCCUCCAAGGCUUUGUGUGUGCCAGGGGCAAGAUGGGGACCUCCAGAAUGCCUGGGCACGACAGCUGGUGAGAGGGUGGGAGUGCUGAGGUAGGUUGUAGGGCGCUUGGUGAAGACCUAAGCUAUGCAUAAGGACCACAGGGGUGGCAUCUGACACUGUGCCCUGUUCUGGCCCAGUCAUCCUAGCUGGGCCGCUGGGCCAUUCACCCACAGUUCCAUGUAAUAGCCUGCUAGGUGGGGUUUCUAGGUGGGGCUGGUGGGUCCUGUAAGAGUCAAGGCCCUCUACAUCUGUGGCUGGGAAUUCAUCUUGUUCAGUUUUUUUUUUUUUUCUCUUUUGGCAGAACUGGGGAUUGAACUUGGGGCCUCAUGUGUGCAAGGGCAGAUCUCUACCACUGAGCUACAGCCCAGUUCUCUCUCUUUUUUUUUUCUUUUUAAAUUCCAAAAAAUAAUAGUAAAUCUUGCUAUGAAAUAAGAGGUAGAAGUCAUGAGGAAAGUGCUCACAAGUUCUCCCCCUCCCCCAUUUGAGGUGCAUCCUUCUAUGCCACUGUGGGUCAGUCACCUCUUUGCUUGGCAUUGUUUGCCAUGGAGGGGGCGCUUAGGACCUCCUCCUAGAAUCUCUAGCUGUAUCUUUUUUUUUUUAAGAUCUAUUUAUUUAUCAUAUAUGAGUACACUUUAGCUGUCUUCAGACACACCAAUAGAGGGCCUCAGAUCUCAUUACAGAUGGUCGUGAGCCACCAUGUGGUUGCUGGGAUUUGAACUCAGGACCUUUGGAAGAGCAGUCAGUGCUCUUAACCGCUGAGCCAUCUCUCCAGCCCUAGCUGUAUCUUGAGAUCUUACUGUACCCCGGUAUCACACAAUAUGGAUUUUCUUCUUACUCUCUGGACCUGGGUCUGACGCAAGUCCAAGCCAGUCCAAGCCAGUGCAAACGGAAGCCAAAGGGUCUAGGUGGCAGGCUGUCUCUGCUCCGGCCUUCUUGUGAUCCCACUAUGAAGUUACCCAACAUGUUGAAGAAGGGCACAGCCGCAAGACUGGCAGGCUGAGUCCAUCAAAGGAUACAUGGCACACACUCUACUGCCCAUAGGCUGCCAUGAAUCCCACCCAGCCUGGGACCGACAGAGCCCCGAAGACCAAGUCUGGGUCAGUUUGAGGGGGCUCAGAGUCCAUCCCGUAGGAGUGCAACUGGCCCACUGCAAAAAGUCAAAUAGAGUGGGAGAGAGCUGCGUGGCUGUGUGAGUGUGCGGGUGUGUGCGCGCGCACAUGUGCGUGCGCAUGUGCAAGCGCGCGUGCACAUCCAGCCAAGGGACAGAAAAGAGUAGAGGACGUGACAAAGAGAUGGAGGUGCGCCAGCGAGGCGACUACGGCAGAGACAAAUGGGGCUCCAGGAAAGUGCGACAGACAGGAAAUCCUUUUAAACCAGGACACUUCCCAAAAGGGUGCUGCUGUUAUUACUAUUAGUUCAUAGAAAGGAGCAAACAGAGAAGCCGGGGAGGAUGAGGCCGGCUGCCACGCGCCACUAGGCGUGGCUCUGGGCGCUGCUGGCAGCCAUUUUAGACCUUGGCAGCCAUCUUAUGGCUGGCGGCCUUAGCCAGCAUUGCCACAAUGCCGCCACCACCAGCCCCCAACAAGCUCAGCUCAGCUCCAGGACAAAAGGCAGACACACUGGAUGUCUGGAUGUAGACUCACAGGCAGAGGAGCCAGCCCUAGAGCCAGGGCAGCUGCAGCCAGGGUCCUGCAGGCUCUGCUCAGAUGCCACCUCAGCUCACCGGUGACAUACAUCUGAGACUGCAGUUUUUUUGGACCCAGAGGCCCCCCGUAGUGAGUGAUGGGGCCUGGAUCACUACCUUCUGUGAAGAGCAGCAGAGGGGGUUUCUCAGCCACUAAAGGGCAAACACAGACGCACCCAUGAUAUAGGCCUAGCAGUCCUGUCUUCAAACCUUACCCGCUGGGUACCCUCCGGCUGGGCCAGCACUGGCAGACAGGCCUGAACCAUCAGCCCCAUGAGGCUAAGGCCUCGUGACUGUGCUCACUGCUUCGUCUUUACCACCUCUCAAAGACUCAGAGCCCUUUCUAGAUCCUUCUUGCAACCGUGGCUUCUACCCUGAUGCACCCCUUAGGGGACAGAGCACCGCUAGCUGGCACCUUCCUCCCCUGCUGAAGAUAGGCUGUAUUCCUGUCUCCACCUUUAACCCUGUAAACCUGAGCCGAGCCUCCCAUCAAAGGAUUCGAUGGACAGGAGGAGCCCAGGUUAGGCAAGACAAGAGAGUACUCUGCCCAUGGCCUACUCCUCUGCCACUUUAGAGACCCAAAGGCUGCAAGAGCCAUUUAGACAAGACAUGAAGGACCUGGGAUCUUGACUCUAAGUGUUUGUGUUGUUGGUUUUUUAAAAUAAAAGCUUCUCUGCUGCUA